UACGAAGGGUGCAAGCGUUAUUCGGAAUUACUGGGCGUAAAGCGUGCGUAGGCGGUUUCUUAAGUCUGCUGUGAAAGCCCCGGGCUCAACCUGGGAAUUGCAGUGGAUACUGGGGAGCUAGAGUGCGGUAGAGGGUAGUGGAAUUCCCGGUGUAGCGGUGAAAUGCGUAGAGAUCGGGAGGAACACCAGUGGCGAAGGCGGCUACCUGGACCAGCACUGACGCUGAGGCACGAAAGCGUGGGGAGCAAACAGG
rnacentral:rRNA from 1 species